CCUACGGGCGGCAGCAGUGAGGAAUAUUGGUCAAUGGGCGCUAGCCUGAACCAGCCAAGUAGCGUGAAGGAUGACUGCCCUAUGGGUUGUAAACUUCUUUUAUAUGGGAAUAAAGUGCAGUAUGUAUACUGCUUUGCAUGUACCUUAUGAAUAAGGAUCGGCUAACUCCGUGCCAGCAGCCGCGGUAAUACGGAGGAUCCGAGCGUUAUCCGGAUUUAUUGGGUUUAAAGGGAGCGUAGGCGGGUUGUUAAGUCAGUUGUGAAAGUUUGCGGCUCAACCGUAAAAUUGCAGUUGAUACUGGCAGCCUUGAGUACGGUAGAGGUAGGCGGAAUGCGUGGUGUAGCGGUGAAAUGCUUAGAUAUCACGAAGAACCCCGAUUGCGAAGGCAGCCUGCUGGACUGUAACUGACGCUGAUGCUCGAAAGUGUGGGUAUCAAACAGGAUUAGAUACCCCUGUAGUC
rnacentral:rRNA from 1 species